rfam:Triticum aestivum genome assembly, contig: Triticum_aestivum_CS42_TGACv1_scaffold_410676_5BL
AAAGUACUCCCUCUGUCCGAAAAUUCUUGUCUUAGAUUUGUCUUAGAUACAUCCGUAUCUAGACAAGAUACAUCCAUAUCUAGACAAAUCUAAGACAAGAAAUUUGGGACAGAGGGAGUAGUUG